UCAAGUGAUCCACCUGCCUCGGCCUCCCAAAGUGUUGGGAUUACAGACGUGAGCCACCGCACCUGGCCGCAUAUGCACGUUUACAGCAUCACACACAAACACUCCAGGCAGAGAAUGGAACUGAUAGUCACGCCUGUCUGCUGUGGCCUCAGCCCAAAGCUUUUAGUACUUCUGAGCAAGGAGGAGUGUCAGCCUGGCCAGGGUGUCUCACUGGUGUCCAAAAACUACGCCCCUAGUGUUGUUUCUGCUAAUUCUGCCUACAUUGUCCUUACCUGCCUCCUCUUCUGGCUUAUUCCUGCUAAUUUGUUAAGAAUUGACUUGGCACCACCUCCUCCAAGAAGUCUUCCCUGACUUCCCAGUGCUGGGCUAGGUCUUGUUCAGCUAGUUGCAUAGCUUCUGGGGACAAGAGCCACACUUUCCUCUCCCAUGGCGACCCCACCCUUACACUGUCUUGAGAAAGCUGGGAAUACAGUGGGUACUCUGUAUAUGUUAGUUGUGUUUCAGAAUGGUUCCUUUUCCCCUCACCCCAGUCAAGCACAGUGGGAUUUUUCUCCAGUAUUCACUUGGAGACCCUGGUGGGGUUUCUGAAGGUAAGCCUUAUAAAAGUGUGCCCCCCACCCCACGCUGAGCCCCUAGGUUUUAAGUCUUGAGGUAGCCCCCACUCAGCUUGAGCAGUUCGCUGAAGUUGCCUUUUUGUUCCUCCCAGUUCCUGGCUCCAGCAGCCUGUCCUCACUGUGAGCUGUGGUUCUCUGUCUCCGCCUGUCUCUUUAGUUUUAGGGUUGGCUGUUUGUCCUGUAACCUCAAUUUUCUGAGGAUUCUAAGAAAAGUCACUGAUUUUCAGUUUGCUUAACUUUUUUCUGGUUUCAGGGGUGGGAGCUGACAUCUGCCAAUCUGGAAGUUGAUGUGCAUAGGUUGAGUGCACUUGAAUCUUCUCUUUGCUUCUUUGGCGGACCCAGGGUCCAGGGACAGGGAGGGGACAGGGUGGAGACCAGCAGACCCCGUUUUCUCUGACUGGGGCCUGAGGACCUGAAGGGAAUGCAGCCCCUCGGGGACUUCUGUAUUAAACACAGACACACAGACUCCACCGGGCUGUGAUGACUGGGGGUGGGGAGUCAGUCAUAGUGUUUGCACUUAAUUCUGACAACAAAGCUGAGGGUCAUCAGAGCCCGGAGUGGGAGUUUGUUAAAGUGACAGUCACCUGGUGUCAUUCUCACAGCUGAGGACCUCCUGCAUGGCGGGGAGGGUGUGCCUCCUCAUCUCUGAGCGCCCUGCCUGCCAACCUCCCUCCCCCGCCCCUACUUCCUUGGCCUACUUGGGCCUUGGCACCAGGCCUGUGCCAGGGCCCAAGUUGUCUGGCAGCAAAGACACAGUCCCUGUCUGUAGGGGGACGGACACACAGCUCCUUUGCACACAGCUUUGGGACAGGGAGAGGGGCAGAAUCCUAUUUGUCCUAGGAGAAGCUCAGCUCCACCUGGGUGGGACAUGCAGCAGGUGCUCAGUGUUUGUUGACUGACUGAGUGAGGGCUUUCAAGGACCCACACGAUGUCCGCUUCUGCCCAGAGCACCCUGAGCCGACGUACAUGAGGAGUUUCCACUGAGGAGCCAUGUCAGGGCGUGCAGUGUGGGCCUGGAGAGCCAGCACCGGCUUCCUGGUUCCACUGAGCAGCCGCGUCCGCCAACACUCGGUUUCCGGCUUCCUCAUUGCACUGAGCAGCCGCGUCUGCCAACACUCGGUUUUCGGCUUCCUCGUUCCACUGAGCAGCAGCGUCCGCCAACACUUGGUUUCAAGCUUCUUUGGCUUUUCAGGUUUUUUCCCCUCUUAACAAAAUGAUGAAAAUGCACAACAGGCCGAAAUGCCCAAAUCCGUCACUCAUGAUACAUUUUACCAAAGUCAAAAGAAAAAAGAAACGUCCUCCUUAAUCACCUUUCAUAUUUUCAUUAGCAACAUCAAAGCGAUCAGGUCUGGGAAAGCCCAUCUGAGUCAUGUCUCUGGUAAGAAGUUGAUGAAGAAUACAAAGGAACUUGAAUUUCAAAGCCAAGCCUUUAUCUCUCAUUCAUGUUUUCUACUGUGAGGGCUCCCCCAAGACCCAGCCCUGUCAUUCAUUAGGGGAGGGCCUGCAGGUCUGAGCAGACACAGUGUUGCCCACCCUAAAGCAUUCAGUGCAGCCGGUAUGGGUGACCCUGUCCUGAGCCCACUGGAACCCUCAUCUCUCCCCCCAACUGCAACCCAGGGAUAGGAGUUGCUUAACCUCCCUGAGCCUGUUUUCUUAUGUGUUUAUUAGCAGCUGUGGGGCGCCUGCUUCAUGCCUUACUUUGUGCUGGACCAGGUGGUAUGCAAGGAACGACAGACAUGUCCGUAAGGAGCUUGAGGCUGAGCUUGGGAGACAGACGCAGCAAGUGCGGGAGGGGUCAGUGCAAAGCCAUGUCAGGGCAUGCAGUGACCCAGAGGAGAGAUUGGCUCUACCAGGCACACCCACGAGGGCUCCCUGGAGGUGGAGGCACAGUGUGUUUUGAUGGCUUGUGGGAGGGCUAAGUUUUCUGGGAAGGGAGAGAGAGAGCCGCCCAAGGGCCAGGCCCUGUUGUCUCAGCAGCCCCAAGGCACUGGAAGCCCUGGAGUGGAUGGUGGUGUUGGGGAAUUCAGGCUUCUGCAGGUACCCGGGAGAGCAAAGGGUGGACACAGUGGAAAUUGGUCCCAAGUCACCCAAAGUCCAAGAGUGGAAAGUGGAGACCCCUUCUCAGUAUCUCCCCAACUCUGUGUGCGGUACAGGUGGUCUCGGAUGCACUCCUUCUGCUGCCUACCCCGAAUGGCCCUGAGGAGGGCUGUUUACCAGGCACCAAUGCUUUAUCAUCUGAAAAACACAUGGCAGAAAGAAUUCAAGGGAGGACGGAGAAAACCCAAAGAUACCUUGUCAGGUGAGAGGAGGGCUUCAGAGUCACUCACGCCAAACAGGCUUCAUAGCCACGCCAGGGGCCCAUGAUGGUGAUCUACAGGGUCCAGCCGUGAGUGAGGAGCCCUGUGGUUGAAAAACACAGGGUGUGGGUGGAUUAGAACUCCUUCCAAAACACAGAUUAUUGAGCCUUUCCUCCCAGGGUUUUAGAUUUAAUCACUCUUGGGUGGGCCUGAGAAUUUGCAUUUUGAGGCGAGUCCUCAUGCUCUGCUGGUACUGCUGGAAUGGCCACCACACCUUGAGCACCGCUGGGUUGGAGGAGGAGUGCUGACGGAGUGCUAAGCUGAUCUCAUCCUGGCCAGACCUUAGGAGGGAGCUCCUGCAAACUGAUGCCAGCAGGGCCAGGCGAGCAUGGAUCACGUGGACACGGAGGCCCUUUGUCCUGCUUCGUCCGUCCAACCCUAUGCCAGUGAGCUCCACGAAGCAGUGACGCCUGCAGAGACUCUGGCCACAGGAAGUGUCAGUAUCCUUUGGUGCAGCUGUGAAUGGUGCCCAGGAGCUGAGCGUCUUGUAGUGCCUGAAGCACGUGUCUCAGUCACAGUUUGGGUAAGUCCACCGGCUAACCCUAGCCAGAAUGAGUAAGAAAAAAAUCAAGCGUCUCUGGAGAGCUUCUUUGAAAAGGGGGAAAGGCCCAAUGGUGAAACAGCAGAAGACUCAAAGAAAGUUGCAUUUAAAAGGAAACAGCAAGAGCCCUGCUUCAAUUAUGGAUUCAUUGCAACAAGUGAUUCAUAUUCCCCAAGCCCUCUUUGCAUAAUAUGUGACCACUGGCUAUCCAGUGAAGCCGUAAAACCUUCAAAACCGCUUCGCCACAUGGAGACCAAGCACCUUGCAUUAAAAGACAAACCUUUAGAGUUUUUCAAAAGAAAAAAAAAAACACGAACACGAAGAACAGAAGCAAUGAUUGAAGGCCACCACUUAGUUGACUGUGUCUGCACUGAGAGCGUCACUCUUAGUGUCUAACCGCAUUGCUAAAGCUAGGAAUCCCUUUACUGUUGGUGGAGUUGAUCCUGCCUGCUGCUGCUAAGGACAUCUGUCGUGAACUUUUGAGAGAGACUGCAGUUGAAAGGGUAGCACGUAUUCCUCUUUUGGCUAGCACCAUAACUAGAUGAAUUGAUGAAACGACAGAGGGUAUUGAGGCACAAUUGUUAGAGGGGAUUAAUGAGUCACUGCGGUACGCAACCCAGGGUUGACGAGUCUACCGAUGUUGAAAACAAGGCAACAAUGCUUGUUUUUGUGCAUAUAUGUUCAGGAGGAUGUGCAUGAGGAUGUGUUAUGUGUGCUUCUGUUGCCAACCCACACCACAGCUGGUAUUCACGUCUUUGAUUACAUAUCAGGAAAGGUGAAUUGAUCACUUUAUGUUGGUCUGUGCAUGGACGGAGAGACUGCCAUGGCUGGACGGCUUUCUGGUUUCAUUACUCAGGUCAAAGAGGUCACUUCUGAAUGUGAGUCCACACGCUGUGUCAUCCAUGGAGAAAUGCCGGCCAGCCAAAAAAUGUUGCCUGAACUUAACAGCGUUUUGGAAGCUGUGAUUAAAAUGAUCAGUCACGUUAAAGUACAUGGGCUUUAACUCACAUCUGUUCUUGCAGCGGUGCCGAAAAAAUCACCUGAACUUAAGAACGUUUUGCAGGAUGUGAUUGAAAUGAUCAGCCACAGCAAAGUGCAUGCCUUUAACUCACGAGGUCUGUUCUCGCGGCUCUGUGAGGAGAUGGACGCGGUACACACACGUCUUCUCUGAUACACAGAAGUGAGAUGCUUUCCAAAGGUAGAUCACUGGCCAGAGUUUCUGAGUUAUGAGAGCUGCUCCAGAGAUUUCUUUUAGAAAAAUAGUCCCCACUAGCAGCAUAUUUCAGUGACAUAGGAUGAGUCGCAAAACUUGCUGACUUGUGCGACGUAUUCAACCUGCUCAACAAACUCAAUCUGUCACUUCAGGGAAGAAUGACAACUGUGUUCAAGUCGGCAGAUAAAGUGGCUGCAUUCAAAGCCAAAUUGGAAUUAUGGGGGUGACGAGGGAACACUGGGAUUUUUGACAUGUUUCAAACAUUAGCAGAGAUUUUGAAAGAGAUAGAGCCAGGGCCUUCCCUCUUCCAGCUGGUGCAUGAUCACCUACCUCAGCUCUCUUUUUUCUUUUUUUUUUUUUUUCUUUUUUUUG
rnacentral:lncRNA from 1 species